AGAUCCGCACGCCGCCGGCUCCUCGCCCCAGCUCUGCCUAACUGCCUCCCUUCUUCAGCCGGACAGAGCUGACGGAAACGGCUCAGAGGGCUGACAGGCCUCCCGGCUGAGAGAGGCGGGGCCCAGCCCUCGGGCGGAUUGCGUAGCCGGAGGCUUGAAAGGCUUAGAGAUCCGAAUUUCUCCCGCGCACAUCGCGGUCUGGAUGGGCUGCAGCAUCUGGGCCGUCCCCGCCUUGCAGAUGUGUGGAGAGUCGGCGUGGGGCUCUGGCCUGGCGACAGGAUUACUGUUGAUCUGUGCCGAGCGCCGAACUGCUGAUCAAUCCGGUGGAGGUCAAGGCAGGUUUCACAGGAUAUCCCCAAAGGCAUCUGUCUGAGGAAUGUUUGGAAAUAAGAUGAGCCACCUGUUUGUGAAGCUGGGGGCCCCUGCGGAGCAGCCGGCGAGCCCCUGGGAGCUGAAAGCCUGUGGCCGCAGGGAGCAGGGGGACGCGAACCGUGCUUUUCUCUGGACGCGCGCUGUAUGCAACUGUCACAGCUAAGGAUAAUGCUGCUCACGCUGCCACCGACCGAACCUCCAGGGAUGUCACUCAAGAUGUUGAACCAGCUGCCGGUUGGGUUGGGCUUCCAGUCUCAGUCUUCAGCUUUUAGCCUUUUUACCCAUCUAGGAUGUGGCCGUCACUGGAAGAGCUUUCUUGGUCUCACCCCGCUUGGUGGUGCUGCUUGCAAAAUACGGACCUGAUUCAUUUUUAAGUGGGUCAGCUUCACAUGUCCCUGCGUGAACCUGUCCCUCUCUAAGGAUCAUGCCAAGGGAUUAUGAUGUACCUGACGCAGCAGAGGUCAGCGGUCAGAGCCUUUUCGCAUUUUAUUGUGAUAAGUCUAUUAUUUUGUCCGCAUCAGUGUUUUUCUAUCCUUGUCAUGGUGGAUCACUGCAUCUUAGUUCUAUUAUUUCUAAUGGGCUGAGUCAGGACUGACUGAGCAGUGACUUGACUGCUGACCUGAAUGGAGGUCAGGAGGCAGUUCAGUGCUUUCAGUCAUCUGUGGAAGGAAAUGUGUUCAUGGACCUGAGCUUAUAUCUGAUAUCUGAAAUAAUAUUUAAUAGGCUAGAUUAGAAAUGCAGAUUCCAUUCAGGGAAAUUUAUAGUCAUUAAUUAGUCGUUCAACUGAUUAAUAGUUUUGGGCACUAAACAAAACAAUUCAUUAAGCCUAAUUAACUAAGACUACUGGCCUAAAUGUUUAUGAGCAGUAGAUGCUGGAAAUAAGAAUCACUACUGCUUUUAUCAUCUUAGCAGAAGUAUUCCUCUAACUGCAUAUUUAUUCCACCAUGGCUUAAAAGAUACUGCCAUACGAUGUCAAAUCUAGAUCCGUUUUCAAUUAAAAAAUGAUUAUCUUGAGCCUAGCUGGAAUUAAAGCCAGCAUGCGCAAUACUCCACUAGGAUCGAGAAACUGGUCAACCUAAUGGUGUAGUGAUCAUUUUUAUUGCUCAACGAAGUAAUUUUGGUUGAGUCUUUUAUGUUACGAGCAAAAAGUGAUAAUUAAAUUGAUUAUUGUCUCUGGCCAUCACUUGCAGAA